GACGAACGCUGGCGGCGUGCUUAACACAUGCAAGUCGAACGGAAAGGCCCUGCUUUUGUGGGGUGCUCGAGUGGCGAACGGGUGAGUAACACGUGAGUAACCUGCCCUGGACUUUGGGAUAACUUCAGGAAACUGGGGCUAAUACCGGAUAGGAGCUCCUGCUGCAUGGUGGGGGUUGGAAAGUUUUGGCGGUUGGGGCUGGACUCGCGGCUUAUCAGCUUGUUGGUGGGGUAGUGGCUUACCAAGGCUUUGACGGGUAGCCGGCCUGGGAGGGUGACCGGCCACAUUGGGACUGAGGUACGGCCCAGACGCCUACGGGAGGCAGCAGUGGGGAAUAUUGCCCAAUGGGCGGAAGCCUGAUGCAGCAACGCCGCGUGUGGGAUGACGGCCUUCGGGUUGUAAACCGCUUUCGCCUGUGACGAAGCGUGAGUGACGGUAAUGGGUAAAGAAGCACCGGCUAACUACGUG
rnacentral:rRNA from 1 species